rnacentral:tRNA from 1 species
UGGCCUAGCGGUUAAGGCUAUGGAUUGCCAAUCCGGAGACGGCGGGUUCGAUUCCCGU